AUGGACUUUGAAAAGCAUGGGGAAGGAAGCUUAUUAAAUGAGAAUUUAGAGGAGAAACUGACGUUUGAUUCCAGUGAGUACUUGACCUUGAAUGUUGGGCACCAACAGGAGAGAGAACAAGGAGCCCUGACUUGUCCUUCAGAGGUUGAGGACAAGGCUUCCCAAGGAAAGGAAUUUAAAGAGAAGAAACCUCAAGGAAUGCAGCAAAGUGACCUCUUCAAAGCGGAAUAUGUCUUUAUCGUGGACUCUGAGGGGGAGGAGGAAGUCCCGGGCAGAAAAGGUGACCAGGGACCCCCGGUGGGGACAGGCCCCCCGGCUGCUCGGCCCUCGUCUCUCGCCAUUUCCUCCAGUCUGGCCUCCGAUGCGGUGCGCCCCAAAACGCGAGCGGCAGGCCUCCAGGCCCCGUCGCAUCCUGAACGGCCUCAGGCCAUGGCUCCCCCGCAAAGACACGGGCAGGCACUAGACGAACCAGCCAAGACGGACAGCAUUUCCAAGGACAAGACCUUAGACCCACCUCUGGAGCAUUCUUCUGAUUCUCCUUCAAGUUCCCUGCAGACUUUGUUGGGUUCUGACACAAUCAAAAUGCCUACAACUCUUCCAAGAGCAGCUGGUCGAGAAACCAAAUAUGCAAACCUCUCCUCACCAUCUUCUACGGUAUCAGAGAGUCAGCUGACAAAGCCUGGAGUAAUUCGCCCCGUACCGGUAAAAUCCAAAAUAUUACUGAAAAAAGAGGAGGAAGUCUAUGAACCCAAUCCUUUCAGUAAAUACCUGGAGGAUAACAGUGACUUCUUUUCUGAGCAGCAAUGA
rnacentral:lncRNA from 1 species